UUGUGAGCUCUGCUCUGCUUCAAUUCAUUUUGAAAAUAAAUCAGAACAUAAAAAAUUUUGUGCCCAGGCCAAACACUGAUUACAGAAGCUUGUAGUUGAGACAAGAAUAGAAACAGAAACAAACAAAAACAAUCAGGAGUUCACACACAAAAAAAAAAAAAAAAAAUUCCAGCAACAAUUCCAGCACCAAUUCCAACACCAGUAACACUUCCAACAAAAACAAUUCCAGUAACAUUAACACUUCCAGCAAAAAAAAUUCCAGCAGCAACAACUCCAGCACCAGUACAUUUCCAGCAAAAAAAAUUUCAGCAGCAACAACCUGGCCAAUGGGAGCCGAAGUGUGGCGCUUUGUGAGUGGAUGAGGAGGGGAGUGCUGGCUGUCGCUCGUGUUAGCUUUGUAAGUGCCGGCUGUCACGCGACUGUCGGUGAUGGCAACGGAGACCUCAAUCACGUGAUGGCGGUGGUCCGUCGUCUGUGGGCUCGUCCUUCGUCUGUGCCGGCUAUUCGCGUGACCGUGGGUGAUUGUUGUUUGUGGGUGUGAUUCCGUGGUUUGUCAAAAGGAAAGUAAGAAAGGGGCAGAGAAGCACUUGAGUUUUUUCUACUUCAGUUUGUUUUGUUUUUACUAGCUCAAACGACUACGUUUCAUACAAGUAAAAAAAAAAAAAAAAAAACCACAACGACGCCGUUUUGAAAUAAUUCGGGGUUUGACCCGGGGAAAGUAGCAUUUUCCAUUCAAAUUUUAUGUCUCAACAUUUCCAUUUUUUUUAAUUAAAAAAAGGCGUUUUU
rnacentral:lncRNA from 1 species